GACAGAGGGUGGCGAACGUUGUUCGGAAUUACUGGGCGUAAAGCGCAUGUAGGCGGCAGCGCAAGUCGGGCGUGAAAUCCCACGGCUCAACCGUGGAAGUGCACUCGAAACUGCGCAGCUAGAGUCCUGGAGAGGAAGGUGGAAUGCUUGGUGUAGAGGUGAAAUUCGUAGAUAUCAAGCGGAACACCGGUGGCGAAGGCGGCCUUCUGGACAGUGACUGACGCUGAGAUGCGAAAGCGUGGGGAGCAAACAGG
rnacentral:rRNA from 1 species